rnacentral:misc_RNA from 1 species
AACUGAACAUGCCCUCAAAGGUUGCAGUUCAGUUUGCAUCUCUUCAUUUUUACAGUUCCAGGUUGCAGUUUUUCAUAGCCUACUUGAGACAUUACAGUGUCCUACAGCUGAACCUGAAAUUAUCUUCAACUUGCUACUUCAAGCUAAACUUGAAACCGUGACUAAAGAAUUGCAAGCCACAGACCAGGUGCUUCACCGCAUUUCUUUCAUGCACCACCUCUUUCAGAUUAUGUUAACUGAAAAUAAGUUGCAAACUUCCUCAACAGUGAGGAGGCUGGCAACUGGCUGGACAUCAAGUGAUCGAGCCACUGGAAAUGUUUCUCUGUCAAUAAGUUUCUCUCUUUUUUUAUAUAAAAAAGUGUCCAGAACCACUGGUCUGUGGCUUGCAUUUCUUUAGUCAUGGUUUGACUGCCUAUAUGUGCCUAAAAC